AAACUUACAGUUCCUCAAAUUCAAAUUGGCACAAACAAUUGUGUUUAAUUUACAGGAUAGGUUAAUUAUUGACUCAGUGAUAAAAUGAGGCCAUGAGAUCUGAAAGACAUUUCCAGUUCCAUAUUGGACAAAGCAUAAAUCAUAUACUGUAGAGCCAGUUUAAAAAAAAAAAUUGAAAAACCAGCAUCAAAUAUGUUAUAACUUAAGGAACUUAAAAUUCUAAAUAAAGCUAGAAAGAAAAGAUCAAAUCUUUAACCCGUGAGGAGGAAAACAGGGCAGGGAAUUAUAGAAUUUAUGAAGAUGAGUUUGGGAACAACAUUCAUCUUGACAAUGACUAGGAAGGGAUGGAAAGACAAAGGAAUAUCCAGUAAUAGUUUAAUUGACAACUUUUUGUCUGAGGUAUAGCGAAAUGUUGAACUGUAGAUCUCAUGUACUGAGCAACACUUUCAUCUCCUGGUCCUUCUCUUUAGAAAUGUAUCUGUCAUUUUCCUGCCAGUGGCCUAACAUUUCUGCUGUGCUCCCUGCUGUUGCAUGGCAAGUUCUCA